AGAUAUUAGAGUUUAACUUACUAACCUAUGCAUAGUGCUUUACUUAACUGUAUAAAAUGUGAAACUAUGCUUAUACAUGAAAAUACUCAAAAGUAUUAAAAAAAAGUUUUUUUAGUUGUAGGUGGACACGAUAUCUUUAUUUAUCUAUUUUUAUGUGGUGCUGAGGAUUGAACCCAGUGCCUCAUGCAUGCAAGGCAAGUGCUCUACCACUAAGCUACAACCCCAGCUCUAAUCCAAACGUUGGAUUUUCAUUUCUUAGAGUUUUAUUAUGCUCAUAUAUUUUUGUAACAGAAGGUAACUUGAAAAUAAAUUCUAUGCAAUUCUGAUUGGCCAAAUUUAUGGCAUAUUUUAGUUAAUUAAUUUUUGAGAUGGAUGAUUGUCUAAGAUAAUUAAAAGGAUUAACUAAAGUUUUCCUAAAGUAUCUGCCUCCUUCAAUUCUGAAAUAUAUUAUCUGCUUUUGAGUUUUACACAUUUUCUAAAUGCUGUCUUUUGGGGAGUUAUGUUUAUGUUUACCCUAAAAGUAAAGCCUCUGCCAUAUUACUAUCAUCUUAAAAUAUAGUUGUUCUUUUCCCCAAAAUCCAUUAGAAAUAUAGAAACACUCUGAAUUUAUGAAAGAAUUACUCUACUGUGAUUGUUCCAUGAAUAUCUGUAAAACCAGUGAAUGGAAGAUUGGAGAGAGCAGUAAAUUCCCCAGUGCAGUAACAAGUCUUCCGAAGGCUUCUUUUGUAUUAUUAAGGAGUAUGACAGGACACUGCUAAUCCUGUUUGUUUGAAAAUUCUCUUUAAUAAACUUUCAAGUUCCUUAAAGAGCUUCUUUUUCUUUGGAGACGAUGGAAGAAGUACUGCUUAUAUUUGGGGGGUAGAAAAUUAUGGAAGUUAAAAAAUAGCAAACAUCCCUCCAAAAAGCAAACUUCUCUAUUGCUAUAUUACCAUAUAUUUUAAAAGUAAAAAGCAGGUUAACAGUUCCUAUAUCAAGUAG
rnacentral:lncRNA from 1 species